rnacentral:rRNA from 1 species
CCUACGGGUGGCUGCAGUGGGGAAUAUUGGACAAUGGGGGGAACCCUGAUCCAGCCAUGCCGCGUGUGUGAAGAAGGCCCUCGGGUUGUAAAGCACUUUCAGUGAGGAAGAACGCCUGGUGGUUAAUACCCAUCAGGAAAGACAUCACUCACAGAAGAAGCACCGGCUAACUCCGUGCCAGCAGCCGCGGUAAUACGGAGGGUGCGAGCGUUAAUCGGAAUUACUGGGCGUAAAGCGCGCGUAGGUGGCUUGAUAAGCCGGUUGUGAAAGCCCGGGCUCAACCUGGGAACGGCAUCCGGAACUGUCAAGCUAGAGUGCAGGAGAGGAAGGUAGAAUUCCCGGUGUAGCGGUGAAAUGCGUAGAGAUCGGGAGGAAUACCAGUGGUGAAGGCGGCCUUCUGGACUGACACUGACACUGAGGUGCGAAAGCGUGGGUAGCAAACAGGAUUAGAUACCCUUGUAGUC